rnacentral:rRNA from 1 species
AAUCAACGCUGGCGGCGUGCCUCAGACAUGCAAGUCGAACGAUUAAAGCUCUCUUCGGAGAGUGCAUAGAGUGGCGCACGGGUGAGUAACACGUAAGUAAUCUACCUUCGAGUGGGGAAUAACGUCCGGAAACGGACGCUAAUACCGCAUAAUGCAGCGGCAUCAUAAGAUGACAGUUGUUAAAGAUUUAUCGCUUGAAGAGGAGCUUGCGGCAGAUUAGCUAGUUGGUAAGGUAAUGGCUUACCAAGGCUACGAUCUGUAACCGGUCUAAGAGGACGGUCGGUCACACUGACACUGAAUAACGGGUCAGACUCCUACGGGAGGCAGCAGUCGGGAAUUUUGGGCAAUGGGCGAAAGCCUGACCCCAGCAACGCCGCGUGAAGGAUGAAGUAUUUCGGUAUGUAAACUUCGAAAGAAU